UACGUAGGGUCCGAGCGUUGUCCGGAGUUACUGGGCGUAAAGGGCGCGCAGGCGGCGGUGCUGGCCCGGCGCGAAAGCCCCCGGCUCAACCGGGGAGGGUCGUCGGGGACCGCACCGCUUGAGGGCGGUAGGGGCCGGUGGAAUGCCUGGUGUAGUGGUGAAAUGCGUAGAGAUCAGGCAGAACACCUGGGGCGAAGGCGGCCGGCUGGGCCGUCCCUGACGCUGAGGCGCGAAGGCGUGGGGAGCGAACGGG
rnacentral:rRNA from 1 species